AGCGAACGUUUGCGGCGGGCUUAACACAUGCAAGUCGAACGAGAAUCCCUUCGGGGAGGAAAGUGGCGCACGGGUGCGUAACACGUGGAUAACCAACCCAUUGGUUUGGGACAACACCGGGAAACUGGUGCUAAUACCAGAUGUGUCGCAGCUGUCUUCAGGCGGUUGCGAGAAAGGCCCGCAAGGGUCGCCAACGGACGGGUCCGCGUCCCAUCAGCUAGUUGGUGAGGUAAUGGCUCACCAAGGCAAAGACGGGUAGCUGGUCUGAGAGGAUGAUCAGCCACACUGGAACUGAGACACGGUCCAGACUCCUACGGGAGGCAGCAGUGGGGAAUAUUGCGCAAUGGGCGAAAGCCUGACGCAGCCACGCCGCGUGAGCGAUGAAGGUCUUCGGAUCGUAAAGCUCUGUGGGGGGAGAAGAAGAAAGCCGGUGAAGAGCCGGCCCUGACGGUAUCCCCUUAGCAAGCACCGGCUAACUCCGUGCCAGCAGCCGCGGUAAAGUAU
rnacentral:rRNA from 1 species